AGUGAACGCUGGCGGUAGGCCUAACACAUGCAAGUCGAACGGCAGCACAGUAAGAGCUUGCUCUUACGGGUGGCGAGUGGCGGACGGGUGAGGAAUACAUCGGAAUCUACUUUUUCGUGGGGGAUAACGUAGGGAAACUUACGCUAAUACCGCAUACGACCUACGGGUGAAAGCAGGGGAUCUUCGGACCUUGCGCGAUUGAAUGAGCGGAUGUCGGAUUAGCUAGUUGGCGGGGUAAAGGCCCACCAAGGCGACGAUCCGUAGCUGGUCUGAGAGGAUGAUCAGCAACACUGGAACUGAGACACGGUCCAGACUCCUAGGGGAGGCAGCAGUGGGGAAUAUUGGACAAUGGGCGCAAGCCUGAUCCAGCCAUACCGCGUGGGUGAAGAAGGCCUUCGGGUUGUAAAGCCCUUUUGUUGGGAAAGAAAAGCAGCAGGUUAAUACCCCGCUGUUCUGACGGUACCCAAAGAAUAAGCACCGGCUAACUUCGU
rnacentral:rRNA from 1 species